AAUCUUGUAAGUCAGCUAGCUAACACCAGUAAUAAGAGAACUGAAAGAGAUGGCUCUUCCUAAUUGCUUGAGGUGCCACAAUGAGAAGAAGAAGCUCUCAUUUUCUGAUCCCUUCCUCAAAAAAAAAAAAAAAAAAGAAAAUGAGUAUAGUAUGACUUGUGUUUACUUGUCUUAUUUAGUUUUUAAAAUCAGUGUGUGUAUAAUAUGUGUAUGUAGCAUUCAUGCCGGUGCCACAGCGUGCAUGUGGAGAGCACAGGAUAAACUCAGCUAAUGGUCUUUGCCUUCUGCCUUGUUGGAGGGAGAGUCCCUGGCUUGAGUCACAGUUUAGCUGGCCUGUGAGCAUCUACCUGUCUCUGCCUGCCUUCUCACCAUGAGUGCUUUGUUACUAAUGAAGGCAACUACAGUAUCAGGAUUGUACAUGCUUCCAUGGUUCUGAACUCCACUCAAGAUUGCGUGUUCCUAGACCUACAGCACCCGAUGGCUUCCAUGACGCUCCUGCCUUCUUUCACACCAGAGCCCACACACUUGCCAUCCAACCUCUCACUAUAGGUAAAAAACUGGGAACCAAUGUGCUCGAUCCAGUAUUGGCCAUGGACAAAACAUGAGGACUGCAU
rnacentral:lncRNA from 1 species